rnacentral:lncRNA from 1 species
CUCAAUUUUUAAUAUCAAAUCAAAUGUAGCUACAUGUACAUGUAUCACAUAUUUUGUAUUGAUAUGUACGUUUAUGUAUGGCCAAUAAUAGCCGGAAGUCCCCCUGGCUUGGUAUGGGAGUUUAGGGCUGAUACCAGCGCCAAUAUGGAAAAUACCGUGUAAUAAACUAUAAGUAUUAUCAUGUUUUAAAAUGACAAUCUAUAAGACUGACUGAAAAUAUCAAUGAUCAUAAUGUAUAUUAUAUUAUGUCAAUUCAGGUUACACUUAAAUUUAAUAAAUUAUUUAUUCAUUCAUUUAUUCAUAUAGUUUUACAUGAACGAAAUAUCUCCAGAAAAUUUUACAUA